CUGGAUUUUCCAAAGUCAGUAGAUUGGAUAAAGCAGCAUCUCAUUCACUGAGGUCACAAGAUAGUGGCCUCUGAGGAAAGAUGGUCUCUCCUUUUCUCAUGGAAAUGCCCGUCACUGGUCAACUCUCAACUUAGAACCAGAGACAGAAGGAGUUUGUGGGAAGUGUGGUUUCUGGUCUACCUGCACUGCAGAGGACAUUCUAGAAAGAGAAGUGAGUUGACAGUCUAGCAUAAUUGUGAAACAAACACUGAGAUGUACAGUUCAAACCACGUGAAGUGGAAGCCUCAGAAUUCUCCUCACUGUCAUUAAAGAUUCUUUGAUGGAAAAAUUUAGAAGCAUUGGCUCUAGAUGACUACCAGAAAAUUGCUAGUUUUCUAAAGCGAAACUACUGAUUUGAGUGAUGAUCUGUGUGUAAUGGCUCCAAAAAGGAGCCGUUCUCUUGGUGGCAGCAGUUGGAUUCAGAGCUUGGGCAUCCUGAUCAUCAGGACAGACAUUUACAGGAUAUGUAUAGAAUUACUGCCCCAAAUAGAGGGCAAAGCACUAGACAGAAGGGUGAGAUCCAAGGGGAAUUUGGAAUCUAUAUUUCAUCAGAAUGCACUCAAAGCAAAAACAUUUUUCACCCCAAUCAUCUUGAUGCAGAGAGGCUUCAGAAACACAAGUGACUCUGUGUUCAGACCAAGUACUUGGCCUCGAGAAGAUGAAUGAUCAGACCAACUCACCAUAUGAUUAUAAGGGUCAGGUAGUUUAAAAAGAAAUUACAAUCUGAAUUGAACCAUGGAUGAACAGUGUUGCUAUUGAGCUUCGAAUCCCAGCUAAUAAGCAUAACCUUGUAAAGAGAGGUUACUGUUUGGGAAACUGCAUGUUCUUGCAGGAGGGCAAAGCUUUUGCAAUAUAAAUAGUUGUAAGGGUACUAGCUUUCAUCUUUAAUACCUUAACCCUCUGUGUUUAGAGUUUUUGUAUCCAGGGCUGAAUUGAGAAUUUUAGAAACCUUGAACACUGAAGAGAUUGUAAUAACAACCCCAUGUGUAAUUUAUAAAAUCUUCAAAAGAACAUUUACUUUUUCAAAAUGUUAUAAAACUCUGAAUAC